rnacentral:rRNA from 1 species
AAUCAACGCUGGCGGCGUGCCUAACACAUGCAAGUCGCGCGCGAAAGGGGGGGCAACCCCCGAGUAAAGACGGCGAACGGGUGAGUAACACGUGGGUAAUCUACCUUCGAGUGGGGAACGAACAUCGGGAAACGUAGGUGCUAAUUCCGCAUGACAUCGUCGGGGCGUUCGGUUCCGACGCUCAAAGACUGGGGAGUCGUAAGACCUAGCGCUUGAAGAUGAGCCCGCGUCCGAUUAGCUAGUUGGCGGGGUAAUAGCCCACCAAGGCUCCGAUCGGUAGCCGGCCUGAGGAGGGCGGGACGGCCACACUGGAACUGAGACACGGUCCAGACUCCUACGGGAGGCAGCAGGUGGGG